UACGUAGGGGGCUAGCGUUGUCCGGAUUUAUUGGGCGUAAAGAGCGUGUAGGCGGCCAGGUAGGUCUGCUGUGAAAACUCGAGGCUCAACCUCGAGACGUCGGCGGAAACCAUCUGACUAGAGUCCGGAAGAGGAGAGUGGAAUUCCUGGUGUAGCGGUGAAAUGCGCAGAUAUCAGGAAGAACACCCGUGGCUAAGGCGGCUCUCUAGUACGUGACUGACGCUGAGACGCGAAAGCGUGGGGAGCGAACAGG
rnacentral:rRNA from 1 species